rnacentral:lncRNA from 1 species
CCAGGCACUGUUCUAAAUACUGUAUAUACAGUAACAAAGCUACAGACCUUUCCUGACUUCAUAGAUCUUCUACACAGCAAUCAAGAAACAAGAUAAAAAGAUGCUUCCAGAGGCUAAAACUUAUUUCUGAGAACCAGCCCACUCCAAUGACAGCCGGCCCCUUCCAGCUGCCUCCUUCCAGGGGCCUCCAACCUGCACCCUGCUCCAAAUUAGGAUGAUACCCCAUUGUUAUCACAGCUUGGAGAUUCCUGAUAUCUCUGCUCACACUCCCACUCCCACAAUGCCCCACUACAGGGAUGAGACUAAGCUGGAACCUCUUGGAAUUCUCUACAUCCAUUUGGACAACUGGAACCCCUCCCUCUACCAACAGCCAGUUUUCCAACUGGGCAAGUUUCCUCCAUAUUUAUCUCAGUGCCUCUUCCUCUUCCAGAAGCCUCCUGUCCCUGAGGUCCCAGCAUGCCUUGCAGCUAGUCAUGGCCAAGUUCUGACAUGUUCACACUUCCCCGAAAAAGAAAAAAUCAGCAGUAUAGCUUCUGGAGACUUGAUUAUUUAUGGGGCUUCAGUCUACUUGGAAAGCCUACAAAGAAAAACGACAAAGGAAUUUGAGUUGUGAUGAGUUAUGUUCAAUUCUCCUUUGCCAUUUACUAGCUGUAAGUCUCCAGGAAAGUUAACUUCACUGAGCUUCAGUUUUCUCAUUUGUAAACUGGGAAUUCCUUUCCUACCUUAAAGCUUUUG